CUGAUGGAUAAAUUCUUUUGUUCUAUCCUCCUAGGAAAGGUGUAGCUUGAAAUAUGAGAGGUUAGAUAAAGUGGAGUUUAAGAGUACAGGCUUUCAGAAGACUGGACCCUGAUACUGUAUUUGCCGCGCACAGAUGACCUUGAUGAGUGAAAUCCUGGUCAUCAUCCAAUGUGAAGCCCACACUUUACCUCCACUCCUGAGCCCAGAAAGCCUGAACAGCAUAGUGGUUAAGAGCACAAGGACCUGAACUGCCACCUACUCCCAGCCAUGUGACCUUGCACAAAGUACGUAAUCUCUUGCGGCUUGAGCUCCGUAUUGUGGUGGGGAACUUCAUAGAAAAGAUCAAACAGAGGCCCUAGAAUGGUGAAAACUGUCUCUGAACUGCUAGUGUUACACCCAGCCCACGGAAACAAGACAGGAAACAACAAACAGCAAAUCCCAGAGUGACCAAAAGAUAGAAGACUCAGGCUAGAGAACUUGCCAGAAGAGUGAGCUCCACUUCAAUAGCUACAUUCCUGCAAAUUCUUGCUCCAUGUUAUUUCCUCCUUGCCUAAUAGAAAGGUUAGCUUUCAGUCUUUGUUGAGUAAUGGCUAAGAGAAAAGAGAAGAUCUCAAAAGUGUAAUGCUCUGGCAAAGAUAUUUAAAAAAAAAAAAAAUUUACAAAGCUUGAUACUUUGUAUUAAUUUAUUGUGAGAACAUAAUGGAAUUAUAUG